rnacentral:rRNA from 1 species
GAUGAACGCUGGCGGCGUGCCUAAUACAUGCAAGUCGAGCGAACAGACGAGGAGCUUGCUCCUCUGACGUUAGCGGCGGACGGGUGAGUAACACGUGGAUAACCUACCUAUAAGACUGGGAUAACUUCGGGAAACCGGAGCUAAUACCGGAUAAUAUAUUGAACCGCAUGGUUCAAUAGUGAAAGACGGUUUUGCUGUCACUUAUAGAUGGAUCCGCGCCGCAUUAGCUAGUUGGUAAGGUAACGGCUUACCAAGGCAACGAUGCGUAGCCGACCUGAGAGGGUGAUCGGCCACACUGGAACUGAGACACGGUCCAGACUCCUACGGGAGGCAGCAGUAGGGAAUCUUCCGCAAUGGGCGAAAGCCUGACGGAGCAACGCCGCGUGAGUGAUGAAGGUCUUCGGAUCGUAAAACUCUGUUAUUAGGGAAGAACAAAUGUGUAAGUAACUAUGCCGUCUUGACGGUACCUAAUCAGAAAGCCACGGCUAACUACGUG